UACGUAGGGUGCGAGCGUUAAUCGGAAUUACUGGGCGUAAAGCGUGCGCAGGCGGUUCGUUGUGUCUGAUGUGAAAGCCCCGGGCUCAACCUGGGAAUGGCAUUGGAAACUGGCGAGCUAGAGUGUGGCAGAGGGGGGUGGAAUUCCGCGUGUAGAGGUGAAAUUCGUAGAUAUUAGGAAGAACACCGGUGGCGAAGGCGGCCCACUGGCUCGAUACUGACGCUGAGGUGCGAAAGCGUGGGGAGCAAACAGG
rnacentral:rRNA from 1 species